rnacentral:tRNA from 1 species
GCCUGGGUGGCUCAGUCGGUUGAGCAUCCGACUUCAGCUCAGGUCAGGAUCUCGCCGUGUGUGAGUUCGAGCCCCACAUCAGGCU